CCAAGCUGCCCUUAGCCGCUGAAUUUAAGCAUAUCAAUAAGCGGAGGAAAAGAAACCAACCGGGAUUACCUCAGUAACGGCGAGUGAAGCGGUAACAGCUCAAAUUUGAAAUCUGGCUCCUUCGGAGUCCGAGUUGUAAUUUGUAGAAGAUGCUUUGGGUUGUGGGCUCGGCCUAAGUUCCUUGGAACAGGACGUCAUAGAGGGUGAGAAUCCCGUAUGUGGCCAUGGCCCGCGCCUAUGUAAAGCUCUUUCGACGAGUCGAGUUGUUUGGGAAUGCAGCUCAAAAUGGGUGGUAAAUUUCAUCUAAAGCUAAAUAUGGGCCAGAGACCGAUAGCGCACAAGUAGAGUGAUCGAAAGAUGAAAAGCACUUUGGAAAGAGAGUUAAACAGUACGUGAAAUUGUUGAAAGGGAAGCGCUUGCAACCAGACUUGGGCGCUGCCGAUCACCCCGAGUUCUCUCGGGUGCACUCGACAGCGCACAGGCCAGCAUCGGUUCGGGUGGCUGGAUAAAGGCCGUAGGAAUGUAGCUCUCUUCGGGGAGUGUUAUAGCCCACGGUGCCAUGCAGCCCAGCCGGACCGAGGACCGCGCCUUCGGGCUAGGAUGCUGGCGUAAUGGUUGUAAGCGACCCGUCUUGAAACACGGACCAAGGAAGGGCAGCUUC
rnacentral:rRNA from 1 species